rnacentral:rRNA from 1 species
CUAGCAUGAACGGAUUUUCUUUAUUCAACUGUCUCAACUUUAUAAACAAAAAUUUUUAUUUAAGUGAAGAAACUUAAAUUCUCCAGAAGGACCAAAAGACCCUAUAGAGCUUUAUAGCAACCUUCAAGAAACCGAAAACACCUAUUUCAUUGGGGCGAUGAAAGAGAAAUCCCUCUUCCUUAACAUAGAGGCACUACUCUUAUUUCUAUGCCUUUUAGGAUUUAGAAAAAGCUACCUUAGGGAUAACAGUCUAAUUUUCCUCUAUAGCCCACAUCAAAAGGAAAGAUUGGCAC